rnacentral:rRNA from 1 species
UACGUAGGCAGCGAGCGUUGUUCGGAAUUACUGGGCGUAAAGAGUGUGUAGGCGGUGUUCCCAGUCUGUUGUGAAAUCUCCCGGCUUAACUGGGAGGGUGCAGCGGAAACUAGAAUGCUAGAGGGUGGGAGAGGUAAGCGGAAUUCCUGGCGUAGCGGUGAAAUGCGUAGAUAUCAGGAGGAACACCUGUGGUGUAGACAGCUUACUGGACCACUUCUGACGCUGAGACACGAAAGCGUGGGUAGCAAACAGG